UCUGAAAGUGAAUUUUGUAAAUGUUGCAGAUCGAUAUGGUGUUUUGGUGCUUCAAUUUACUAGGUUUCUUGUUUCUGCCCAACCCCUUCAACAUAUACUACUCUCCUUAAAACUCAAAGAUAAUGUCCAAAGUUUUUCAGUCUUAGUUCGACAGUUUCAUAAUCGCUGUUUUGAACCUCGGAUCAUGCAUUUCACAGGAGAAGCAGCUGGUGGCACUGGAUUCGGGAGUUGGGGAGAUUGCGUAACUAUAGAUUGUUCUGCUUGGAAUAGCGUGGAGAUUAUUAUGACUAUAUAUUUUCAUGAAGCCAGUAGAGUUACAAAGGGUCUUGCAGAUCAGAAGGUUUACUUGGAGAAGGAACACCACCAUUCAGGCAGCUAGAUGCAGGAAAGCUAGAUUCCUGCAUACC